CGAAUGGGCUGCAACCGGCUCGUGUUGCCGGCGGAGGAUGAUGAUGAUGAUGCUGCUGAGGAGGAGGAGGAGGAGGAGGUGUUGAUGGGGGACCCGUCAUUGCUGCGCCUGACCCAAGCCGAGUGCACAGGAGUUCAUCCUAGUCUGGAAACCUAAAAAAGUUGACGCUGAAGAAAUGUUAUCCCGACUGUCGUGUGUCUCGGCACCCCUCUUUGCCUUGUGCUACUCCAAAUGACAGGCACUUCAGCGGCACAGUCACCGAGGCGUGUGGGCGGGAGCGUCCGGGACUCUUACGGCCUCUGAUUGGUGAAUCGCACGAUCGAAAUAAAAUACGAUUGGUCUGGUGAAAAUGAUGGACAACAGAAGGAGCCAGUGGAGUCAUUGUGGUUCGGAACGUUUGGGAUUCUGCUUUGCUAAUGCUAUUGGUUGAGAUUGUAAACUGACAGACUAAUCUAAUGGCACAAAGUACAAACAUUAAUACUGAUAACACAGAUGGUGUAACGGAUUUAACUGUAAGAAAUGCAUAGAGCAUAAGAAGACAUACGAGAGACCGGGGCUCUAAAUAAAAUUUAUUACAUUUAUUGAUUAAAAUUUUAACUCCAAGG